rnacentral:ncRNA from 1 species
UCUCGUGCGCAGUUACGGCUCGCACGGAUGACCUGCAAAAAGUGGUCAGCUUAUUUAUCCUGCUACGGCAAAUACAUUACGGGGUCUGUAAAAGUCAGAGUAGUGAAAUAUCGAAAAAGACAAGACAGC